rnacentral:rRNA from 1 species
UACGAAGGGGGCUAGCGUUGUUCGGAAUCACUGGGCGUAAAGAGCGCGUAGGCGGAUAUGCAAGUCAGGGGUGAAAUCCCGGGGCCUAACCUCGGAACUGCCUUUGAAACUGCAUAUCUGGAGACUCGGAGGGGAUAGCGGAAUUCCAAAUGUAGGGGUGAAAUCCGUAGAUAUUUGGAGGAACACCGGUGGCGAAGGCGGCUAUCUGGACGAGUACUGACGCUGAGGCGCGAAAGCGUGGGUAGCAAACAGG